UUCCGGUUGAUCCCGCCGGACCUGUCUGCUAUCGGAUUGAUACUAAGCCAUGCUAGUCUUUGUAGUAAUACAAGGCAUACGGCUCAGUAACGCGUAGUCAACCUACCCUAUGGACGGGGAUAAUCUCGGGAAACUGAGCAUAAUACCCGGCAGACCACUUAUCCUGGAAUGGUUAGUGGUUAAAAUGAUUCGUCGCCAUAGGAUGGGACUGCGGCCUAUCAGCUUGUUGGUGAGGUAAUGGCCCACCAAGGCGAUUACAGGUACGGGCUCUGAGAGGAGAGGCCCGGAGAUGGGUACUGAGACAAGGACCCAGGCCCUAUGGGGCGCAGCAGGCGAGAAAACUUUGCAAUGUGCGAAAGCACGACAAGGUUAAUCCGAGUGAUUUCUGCUAAAGGAAUCUUUUGUUAGUUCUAAAAAUACUAGUGAAUAAGGGGUGGGCAAGUUCUGGUGUCAGCCGCCGCGGUAAAACCAGCACCUCAAGUGGUCAGGAGGAUUAUUGGGCCUAAAGCAUCCGUAGCCUGUUCUAUAAGUUUGCGGUUAAAUCUAUACGCUCAACGUAUAGGCUGCCGUAAAUACUGUAGAACUAGGGAGUGGGAGAGGUAGACGGUACUCGAUAGGAAGGGGUAAAAUCCUUUGAUCUAUUGAUGACCACCCGUGGCGAAGGCGGUCUACCAGAACACGUUCGACGGUGAGGGAUGAAAGCUGGGGGAGCAAACCGGAUUAGAUACCCGGGUAGUCCCAGCUGUAAACGAUGCAGACUCGAUGAUGCAAUGGCAUAGAGCUAUUGCAGUAUCGCAGGGAAGCCGUUAAGUCUGCCGCCUGGGAAGUACGUACGCAAGUAUGAAACUUAAAGGAAUUGGCGGGGGAGCACCACAAGGGGUGAAGCCUGCGGUUCAAUUGGAUUCAACGCCGGA
rnacentral:rRNA from 1 species